rnacentral:rRNA from 1 species
UACGUAGGGACCAAGCGUUGUUCGGAUUUACUGGGCGUAAAGGGCGCGUAGGCGGCGCUGUAAGUCACUUGUGAAAUCUCCGGGCUUAACUCGGAACGGUCAAGUGAUACUGCAGUGCUAGAGUGCAGAAAGGGCAAUCGGAAUUCUUGGUGUAGCGGUGAAAUGCGUAGAUAUCGGGAGGAACACCGGUGGCGAAGGCGACCAUCUGGACGGAUACUGACGCUGAGACGCGAAAGCGUGGGGAGCAAACAGG